AGGCUUGUAGCUCAGGUGGUUAGAGCGCACCCCUGAUAAGGGUGAGGUUGGUGGUUCAAGUCCACUCAGGCCUACCA
rnacentral:tRNA from 1 species